rnacentral:rRNA from 1 species
GAUGAACGCUGGCGGCGUGCUUAACACAUGCAAGUCGAACGGUGAACGAGGGAGCUUGCUCCCUCCGGAUCAGUGGCGAACGGGUGAGUAACACGUGAGCAAUCUGCCCUGGACUCUGGGAUAAGCGUUGGAAACGACGUCUAAUACCGGAUACGAGGCGUGGGGGCAUCCCCAACGCCUGGAAAGAACUUCGGUCCAGGAUGAGCUCGCGGCCUAUCAGCUAGUUGGUGAGGUAACGGCUCACCAAGGCGCCGACGGGUAGCCGGCCUGAGAGGGUGACCGGCCGCACUGGGACUGAGACACGGACCAGACUCCUACAGGAGGCAGGAGGGGGGAAUAUUGCACAAAAGGCGCAAGCCUGAUGCAGCAACGCCGCGUGAGGGACGACGGCCUUCGGGUUGUAAACCUCUUUUAGCAGGGAAGAAGCGAAAGUGACGGUACCUGCAGAAAAAGCACCGGCUAACUACGUGCCAGCAGCCGCCGUAAAAC